UGAUUGAUUUUGAGUUUGAUUUGGUUUGAUUUUUGUGUAGGAUGUAAGGUAUGUAAACUUCUGAAUGUGAUAAUCUGAUUUGUCCAACACCAUUUUGAAGAGACUUACCUGUUCUCCAGUGAGUGUAUUUAGCACAUUUGCCCAAGAUCGGUUGCGUUGUAGAUGCGUGGAUUUGUUUCUGGUGUGUUUUGUUUGGCUCCAUUAGCCUGCAUGUGGGUUUGUACGCCAGUACCAGGCUGUUUGGGUUAUAAUAGAGCUCUAGUGCAACUUGAUACCUGGUGUUGUCAUGCUUUCAGCAUGGUUUACUUGUUUAAGGUUGCUUUGACUAUUUGGUGGCUUUUUUUUUUUUUUCAAGAUUUAUUUUAU